UUCUUCCAUAACAAAAUGGGUUGGGAAAGGGCAGUUAUCAUCACAUACCCGCAACUUCUUGGGUUUAGCUUGGAGUAGAGGAUUCUUCCAUGGUGUUCAGUUUUACGAGUAUUGAUAUUGAAAGGUCUGGUGAAGGAAGAUCUUAAAUUGGCACAUCUGUUGACAAAAAAUGAGAAGUAUUUCUUGGAGAAGUUUGUGACCAAAUAUGAGAAAGAAGUUCCUCAUCUCUUGGAAUUAUUCAAAGGAAAUAUUAAUCUGCUAGGACUAGGAUAUGGAACUGAGGAAGUGUGGAAAGAACCUAUUGUAAAAUGCCCAAAUCUUUGAAACUUGACAAACAGAUCUAAUUGCUUCUUUGUGACCUUGAAGCCUCAAUGUCUAUAUGGAGACUGUAUACGAGCCUAUAUAUAACUCUUUUUUUGUUUUCCAAAGCACUUAUCUGUUGCCUAGUCAUCCUGGUG